rnacentral:rRNA from 1 species
GUGCCAGCCGCCGCGGUAAAACGUAGGAGGCGAGCGUUAUCCGGAUUCACUGGGCGUAAAGCGCGUGCAGGCGGUUUGGUAAGUUGGGCGUGAAAGCUCCCGGCUCAACUGGGAGAGGUCGUCCAAAACUACCAGACUAGAGAGCGAUAGAGGAAAAUGGAAUUCCCGGUGUAGUGGUGAAAUGCGUAGAUAUCGGGAGGAACACCAGUGGCGAAGGCGAUUUUCUGGAUCGUUUCUGACGCUCAGACGCGAAAGCUAGGGUAGCAAACGGGAUUAGAAACCCCUGUAGUCC